rnacentral:rRNA from 1 species
UCAGGACGAACGCUGCGGCACGCUAACACAUGCAAGUCGAACGAACGGAGAUAGCUUGCUAUCAAGUAGUGGCGGACGGGUGAGUAACACGUGAGCAAUCUGCCUUUAAGUGGGGAAUAACGAUUGGAAACGGUCGGUAAUACCGCAUAAUAUAGCGAAACCGCAUGAUUUUGCUAUCAAAGAUUUAUCGCUUAAAGAUGAGCUCGCGUCUGAUUAGCUAGUUGGUGAGGUAACGGCUCACCAAGGCGACGAUCAGUAGCCGGACUGAGAGGUUGAACGGCCACAUUGGGACUGAGACACGGCCCAGACUCCUACGGGAGGCAGCAGUGGGGAAUAUUGCACAAUGGGCGCAAGCCUGAUGCAGCGAUGCCGCGUGAGGGAAGAAGGUUUUCGGAUUGUAAACCUCUGUUGACAGGGACGAUAAUGACGGUACCUGUUCAGAAAGCUCCGGCUAACUACGUGCCAGCCGCCGC